rnacentral:misc_RNA from 1 species
GAUGAAGAACGUAGCGAAAUGCGAUAAGUAAUGUGAAUUGCAGAAUUCAGUGAAUCAUCGAAUCUUUGAACGCACAUUGCGCCCGCUGGUAUUCCGGCGGGCAUGCCUGUUCGAGCGUCAUUUCAACCCUCAAGCCCCCGGGUUUGGUGUUGGGGAUCGGCUCUGCCCUUCUGGGCGGUGCCGCCCCCGAAAUACAUUGGCGGUCUCGCUGCAGCCUCCAUUGCGUAGUAGCUAACACCUCGCAACUGGAACGCGGCGCGGCCAUGCCGUAAAACCCCAACUUCUGAAUGUUGACCUCUGAUCAGGUAGGAAUACCCGCUGAACUUAAGCAUAUCAAUAAGCGGAGGA